ACGUCACCUCCACUUGAAAACAUCAAGAUGGCGUCGCCGGGAGUACUUCAAACUUAAAAUCAGAUCAAAUGUAUAUCAAGUGUUAUCCAUCCUGAUAACACCUCCACAAAUAGAGACUGGAACUUCUGAGCACCAUCACCUUGUCUGCUUUGGGACUGUCAUAGGAGAAUGAUGCAGUACUUUUCUGUGUUGAAUUUACAAAACGUCAGUACACAGACAUAGUUUUGUUCCAGUUUUGCUGUGCUCAUGUCUUCUUUGUGUCCCCAGCCCAGCAAUCAGAUGCAUCAGAACAACAAAGCACAACUGUGGUGGCCCAGGCACCUUCAGCAACAAAGAUUUAACAUCAUUGUCAGUCAGGAGCAUAUUUAACAGGAGCCACACUCAACUGGCUUGAUGGUGACUUCAGUAAGUGUGGUUGACCCUCUUGUUUUUGUGGCUAUAAUAAUUAGGCUAAGUAAUCUCACUCUCUUCCAUUUCCCGAACAUGAAACUUUUGACUGAAACAUGAAAAUGAUACUUAACCGGUGCAGUGAAGAUAUUUAAAGAGACGCUGUCACUAUCUAAAGUACAGAAAGCCUUACAUCAUCUCUAGGUGCAGUCACCUACAGCGCAGCCAGCUUCACAAAGACUGUGGGGCUGGUCACCAGGAAAAUGGACAACAGGGAGUGCUUUGGGGUUUUACUCCUCAAAUGAUCACCCUGGCUACUGUAGCUGGGAUUGCUUCACAGACGAUGGAGGUCUUGAAGAGUAAAGUGUGCGUGCGUGCGCACACAUUGUGUUUUUACUGUAACAAUUAUGGUCACUUGCAGUUAAUUUGUUUUCAGUGUAGUGUAAGAU